rnacentral:misc_RNA from 1 species
GAUGAAGAACGCAGCGAAAUGCGAUACGUAAUGUGAAUUGCAAAUUCAGUGAAUCAUCGAGUCUUUGAACGCACAUUGCGCCCCCUGGUAUUCCGGGGGGCAUGCCUGUCCGAGCGUCAUUGCUGCCCUCAAGCACGGCUUGUGUGUUGGGCCCCGUCCUCCGAUCCCGGGGGACGGGCCCGAAAGGCAGCGGCGGCACCGCGUCCGGUCCUCGAGCGUAUGGGGCUUUGUCACCCGCUCUGUAGGCCCGGCCGGCGCUUGCCGAUCAACCCAAAUUUUUUAUCCAGGUUGACCUCGGAUCAGGUAGGGAGACCCGCUGAACUUAAGCAUAUCAAUAAGCGGAGGA